GUUUUAAAUUGUAUUUUGGCUGAAUUUAAUUUUAUUAUAUUUGCAGGUUUGGUAAUAGAGUGUAAGCAGUCAAGUUAGGUUUAAAGAAAAUUGGUGUGAAAAAGAAAAAGUGAUUUCAAUUGUUUUUACGCCAAUUGAAAUCUUAUUAUAUCUGCAGUCUUAUUUUUUGCUGGUUUGAUGGUAAGGUGUCAGCAAUCAAGGUAAGUAGUUUAUUGUUUUAUUUGUUGGCUUUUGAUGACUGAUGUUUGUUUUAUUUUCACUGGCUGUUGCGCUUGAUGUCUACAACUUGUUUGCGUAUUUACUGACAUUGAUUGUUAUGUAAAUAGUUAUUUUGUACGCCAAUACAUGAUAGAUUUGGUGGGUAGUUUAUUGGCUUUUAAUGAUUUUUUGUGAUGAUUUUAACUUUAUUUAUUUACAUUUCAGGUGGUAAGGUGUCAGUAAUCAAGGACCAGCUUAGAAUUUGUCGAGCAAAGUUGGGUGAUUCCAUGUAUGACGUGAGGGGCCUUCGCCACAUUUUGAUGCAGCUUUAUUCCAGUGCCAAUGUUAUUUCAAGCGUGUCUCUUGGAAAGGCUGUUGCUCCUGAUGUCUACAAAUUGUUUGAGUUUUUCUAUUUUCAGAUUCAUGAUAAAUUUGGUGGUAAGGUGUCAGUAAUCAAGGACCAGCUUAGAAUUUGUCGAGCAAAGUUGGGUGAUUCCAUGUAUAACGUGAGGGGCCUUCGCCACAUUUUGAUGCAGCUUUAUUCCAGUGCCAAUGUUAUUUCAAGCGUGUCUCUUGGAAAGGCUGUUGCUCCUGAUGUCUACAAAUUGUUUGAGUUUUUCUAUUUUCAGAUUCAUGAUAAAUUUGGUGGUAAGGUGUCAGUAAUCAAGGACCUUAGAAUUUGUCGAGCAAAGUUGGGUGAUUCCAUGUAUGGCGUGAGGCUC